rnacentral:lncRNA from 1 species
CUAUAGAACUAUCUAGAUUAAAGGAAUCCCAUGAUAGAGCUCUCGAGGUGGCUAAUGAUUUUAAAACUAAAAACGAUAAGCUUGAAGUUGCACAUGCUAAACUCGUUGAGGACUAUGAGCACCUCGAAAAUGGCUCAAAGGCUAUUAAGAGUUCACUCAUCGAACUCACCGAGUCUCAUGCUCAACUUGAAGCUUCAUAUGCUAA